AUCGUAAUGCACACCUGUAAUCCCAGCUACUGGGGAGGCUGAGACAGGAGAAUCACUUGAACCCAGGAGGUGGAGGUUGCAGUGAGCCAAGGUCGCACCACUGCACUCCAGCCUGGGCAACACAGCAAGACUCCAUCUCAAAAGAAAAAAAAAAGAAAAGUAUUUUAAUAUCAAAGAAGAAGGAAGAGGGCCAGAAAGAAGAGAUAGGGCUGAAAAAAGAAGGCAGGAAACAAGCAGAAUGUUUCCAAAGAGUCCCAUGAACUAUUCAGAAAACAGUUGUUUUGUUUUGUUUUGUUUUGAGACGGAGUCUUGCUCUGUCACCCAGGCAGGAGUGCAGUGGCAUGAUCUCGGCUCACUGCAACCCCACCUCCUGGGUUCAAGUGAUUCUUCUGCCUCAGCCUCCUGAGUAGCUGGGAUUAUAGGUACACGCCACCAUGCCCAGCUAAUUUUUGUAUUUUUAGUAGAGACGGGGUUUCAACAUAUUGGCCAGGCUGGUCUCAAACUCCUGACCUCAUGAUCCACUCACUUUGGCCUCCCAAAGUGCUGGGAUUACCGCGCCCGGCCAAGAAUUUUGUCUUUAAAGGAGUUGACAGUGGGGUGUGGACCGUGUAGCCGAGACAGCUUGCAGGGUGGUUGUGCUCACCCCGCAUCAAGGUUGCUAAGCUGCUGUGAUGGAAUCCUGGAGCUGCUGAAGGACACCUCAUCUCUUUGUGGGAAGCAUCUGCUUGAGGAUUAAGGGAAUGCAGAAAAAAAGUGGAGUAGAGAGAUGGAGGAAGAUGACUUUCGAGGACAUUGUGUGAGCACCUGGAUCUAACUGUGCCUGAAGCAAAACUCAAACCCUGGACUCUCAAUGUAUUGGCUCUCAGUUCCAA
rnacentral:lncRNA from 1 species